AUGCGGCAGCUGCAGCAGACCGUGGAGGAGUUGGACGUUGGACUGCUGGUGAACAACGCGGGCGUGCUGGAGCCCAGCGCGGUGUUCCUGCACGAGGCCGACGUGGAGGCAUGUGUGGAUAUGAUACGGGUGAACCUGCUAGCGCUGACCGAGGUGACGGCGGCAGUGAUUCCCGGCAUGGUGAAUCGCGGGAGGGGAGCUGUGGUCAACUUGGGCUCGGCUUCGUCAGAGGCCAUCCCAUCCUUACCCCUCUACACGAUGUACGCCGCAACUAAACGCUAUGUCGCUCGGUUCUCGAAAUGUCUUCACGUUGAGUAUAGACGCAAAGGAAUCGAUGUGCAAUGCCAGGCACCGUUCUUCGUGGAUGGCACAAUGGCGUCAAGAUUCGCCGAGGCCAGGCGUUUUGUGCCAUUGACGCCAACGCCAGACGCCUACGCCCGCGCGGCAGUGCGCUGGAUCGGACACGGCCCACUAUGCGUGCCCAACUUCCGACACCAGAUAAUGUGGUUCUUUGCGGGAAUUGCGCCUGACUUUUUGCAAGAUGGAAUCCUCCUGCGUGAUCACCUAUGGCAAAGAAAUGAGUUACAGAUAACGAGGUCUUUGCCCGAGGUGUGCCCUAUUAAGCAAGGUGGACAUGCGGCUGCCUGA
rnacentral:rRNA from 1 species